UGUAGUUCCGGGCCGCACGGGGCCGAAGCGCGGGUCUCGGCCCGCCAUUUUGCGGGCGCCCUGAGGGCUCCGUGAGGGGCGGCGGGGUCGGGCUUCAUGCUCGAGGUGUGUCAGCGCACGUUUAUAUCCAUCGUGGCAGCGGGGGCCGAGCAGGGACUACAGGCCAGGUGGCAUCUGGGACAGAAGAGAGGACUGGACCGGGAGAACAAACCAGUUGUUAGCAAAACAGGGAGCGUUUUGUGGAUAACCCAAACCAGCCCAUCUCCAGCGCUGGUCUUCACGCUGAGCCAGGAAAACUUUCCUUGCGGCUCAGUGCUGCCCAAAACACGCUCAGGGUCGCGGGGAUCGAGGGUGAGCAGCAAGGCUCGGCCCAGGGAGCCUGCAAGGGGCAGGAGGGUGAGUCAGGAGCACGCCACGCUGGGAAGGUGCACAUGGCAGGGCUCUGAACGAGGAGAGGAAGGACAGCUCAGCCCGCAGGCAGCGGGUGAAUCACGGCAGUCCCGGCAGCAGCAGGUCACAGCUGCUGUUUUCCCCACAGCAGCUCCAGCCUCACGACCCGGCCCUUACGGAGCUGAUGGCAUGACAGCAGUGGAAACCUCGGGGAAAAUCUUUGUAGACACAAAGAUUCUUUCACCCUGUAACUUGGUGCCGUGGUUGACACGUGGCUCUCUGUGCCCCUCUGGAAUUCCCAGAGGGCUGGCAGCAGCGCCGCUCGCUCCCUCCUGCCGCUCUUUGAACCCGUCCGGGAGCGCCUCUCCCCCGCUGGGGCUGGGGGCGCCUCGGGGCGUUUGCCCAUCCCCACAACACAGCCUUGGCCGCAGAGUACCUGCUGGGGGUGGCCAGGGCCAGAGCAUCCCUCAGUGAAGCACUGGGAAUCCCAGCAGCUGCUGAUCCGGCUGCUGGAAGAGCUGGUAAACAUUCAUUAAUUGCUGAGUGCUGCCAGCCAGAGCUCUUGGCCUCAGCGCUGCCACGGGGUAUGGCUGGGCCUGGCUCCGUGUUCAGCCUCCCAGGACAGGAAUUCGACUGGAGAAGGCUCUGAAGCCACACUGGCUCAGCCCAUGGGGCUGCUCCCACACGCUGUUAUCCCAUUACCAGUGGGGAAUAAGCACAGCCUCGACCAAACACAGCCCAAGAGCUGUCACAGAGGGCACAUCAUUCCAGGGGAAGCUUUACAGUGCUGGGAUCAUGGAGAAAAAGCCUUUGAGUCAAUCCCCACCAGACACAAUUUCCUGUUUAAUUUCCUGGCUGUUUCUUACUUGGUAAAGGAAAAGCUGUAAAUUGCAAGAUUGCUUCAGAGACCUUCCUCUGACUUCAGAUGAACUGUUAACCACUUGCAGGAGAGAAUCCAGCACACUAGCACAACACUUGUAAAAAACCCCUUCUGUGAUUGGCACCGAAAGGAAAGCUGUGCAAAAAAAUAAAGGUUGGAAUCGUUUUCCUUGGAAAAGCAAACAGGAGCAGCUCCGCCUCCAGCUGAGCAGGGAUGGACACAUUUGGAAUCCCAGAGGUAGCUACUUACAGCUGCUGAAGCUCAGAUGCUCCAGUGAAGUCGGCUUGCAAGGAAUUCAGAGGUUUAGCUUGAAGAAGAUGGUCAGAACAGCUGCAAUUUAUUUACAAUUGUGCAGAUUAAUCAGUCUAGAGACUGUCUAGAGACUGCUGCAAUCUUCUCCUUCGAGUUUCCGCUCAGCCAGGUGCUGCUGCUGGUGCACUGGACAUGUUUUGGAACUCUGCUGGCUGUUCUUCCUGCUAAUGGUAAGCCAAAGCCAUUUAUAUGGAGCAAUCCUGGUGGUGAAUGAAUCCAGCAGCAGUGCUGGAACUCCAGCAGAAUGUCCAUCCCUCCCUCCACAGAGCCCAGGUAAUUUCUCCCACAGGUAAAGAAUUUCUCCAAGUGAGAAAGAGUGAGUAGACCCUUCAAUACAAACACAGGGCACAC